rnacentral:lncRNA from 1 species
UUUUUUUUUUUUUGUAAAGUUACAGACAAUAUUUUAGUUUUUGUGGAUAAAGUCUGAAUCAAAACAACUCAACUAUGAAGUUGUAGCAAGGGAACAGCCACAGACGAUGACAAAUCAAUUUGAUUGACAAAUCAACAGGUGUGACUGAGCCAAUGAACAUCCAUUUACAAAAUCAAAGGGUGGCUAGACUUAGUCCAUGGGCUAGAAUUUGCUGACCCCUGAUAUAAAUAACAGCUCUCACCAUGACUGUACAAUGCAAAUGUCCACAGUCUAGUGUGUUUGCCAAUAGACUAUCACAGUCGUCAUAUAUAAACACCAACAUCAUUUAUCUUCAUUAAUGAUGUUUCAUCCUUUCUCCUUCCACCUGUGCUUGUAAGGAAAUGAAAUUGAAUAGACGUCUACAGAUAGAGCGGACUUUUCACCUUGGUGUGAUAGGGCAGAGCUGAGCAGAGGCAAAGCCUUUGAGAGCUCAUACUUGCAUUUUAUGAGGUCUUCUCUAGAUAAGACUAAAAUCCAGUCAUAUUUAAAUAUACAUAUACAUCCAGUCUCCGAUUGGAUAUCAACUGUUCUGUUGAUUACAUACUUAUUCAUAGACCCACAAACAGUAAGGAAUGGCUACACCAAAAAAAGAGCGACGCUGAAAAGCUGAAGUCAGAGAGGAAGCUAUCAGAAGUCAGUUUAUUAAAGGCCUUCACCCCCAAAUUGGAGAUGGUUUAUAAUAAAAACAAUUAAACAAAGUGCAGCUAAUGUAUAGCUAAUGUAUAGCGACAGUAGGUGACAGUAGGGUUGAAGGAAAACAGCCAUCUUCACACACUGUGGGUUGGAAUGCUCCUUGGUGUAGCCUUUCAAGAGGGCAAUGUGUCAGUACAAAACUUUUUUUUUUAAGUUUUAUUAAAGUAUAGCUGACUUACAAUGUUGUGAUAAUGUCUGCUAUGUAACAGAGUGAUUCAGUUAUACACGUACACACAUCUAUUCUCUCUCAGAUUCUUUUCCCAUAUAGAUUAUGAUAGAAUAUUGGGUAGAGUUCUCUGUUCUGUAUAGCAGGUCCCUGUUGGCCAAUCAUUUCAUGUACCAUAGCGUGCAUAUGACAAUCCCAAGCCCCCAUCCAUCCCUCCCCUCUCACCUGUCCCUUUUGGUAGUCAUAAGUUUUUCAAAGUCUGUGAGUCUCUUUCUGCUCUGCAAAUAAAUUCAAUUGUAUCCUUUUUUUUUAAGAUUCCACUUAUAUGUAAUAGCAUAUGAUAUUUGUCUUUCACUGUCUAACUUCACUUAGUAUGAUCAUUUCUAGGUCCAUCCAUGUUGCUGCAAAUAGCAUUAUUUCAUUCUUUUUUAUGGCUGAGUAAUAUUCCAUAGCAUCAAAACUCUUAAAAGUGCUUUAGCCUCUCAACCAACGUUUCCAUAUCUAGGAAUUUAUCCUAAGGAAUAAUCAGAAACCAAAGAUUAUGUUUAGAGAUGUUUAAUGUUACAGUAAUCAUAAUAGUGAACUGUUGGAGACAAUCUAAAUUACCAAAGAUUUAAGACUGGUUAAAUAAAUUACUGUGUUGUAAAAAUCCAUGCAACAAUUAAAAUAACAUUGUAGAAUAAUUUUUAAUGGCAUGGAAAUGCUAAUUUUUUUUAACAGAUGAGAGGUAGUUUGUAAAGUAAUACUUCAAUUGUGGUGUCAACUAAAAAAAGUAUAUAUUUAUUUUGGCCACAGCUGUGGCAUAUGAAAAUGGCUGAUGAUGCCACAGUCACAUCAACAUGGGAUCUGAGCCGCAUCUGUGACCUAUGCUGUAGCUUCCAGCAAAGCUGGAUACUUAAGCCACUGAACAAGGCCAAGGAUUGAACCUGCAUCUUCAUAGAGUCAAUGGGUCCUUAAUCCACUGAGCCAUAAUGGGAACUCAUAAAAAUAUAUUUUAAAAGAUACCAAAAUAUUAACAAGGGGCAGGGAUAAUUAUUAGGAUUAUAGAUGAUGCAAACAUGUUUAGACCUCUCUGAUUUUUCAAAACUUCUCCAAUUAAGUUUUGAAAUAAAAAAGAAAAAUGUAGACUUUAUUAAAAAUCAAUAUUGUGAUGAACCAGAGUCAGAACUGAUUUAAUUUUGUUGUUGUUUGGUGGUAUUUGUUUGUUUGUUUUUAGCGGCACCCAUGGCAUGUGGAAUUUCCUGGGUCACAGCCGUGAUCCAAGCCGCUGCAAUGACAAUGCCAGAUCUUUAACCCACUAAGCCAAAAGAGAAUUCCCAAACUGGAUUUUUAAAAAAGGGAAUGGACAAUCUCCUUAGGUAUCUAAGAGUACAAUUUUCAUACCAAGAGCCACCCAGCAUCAAUCUAAUAUUAAAAUCUCCUGCAGCUACUGAGUAGUGGUAAGUCCUGCUCAGGUGACGCCAUAUCGACUUGAUUAGGAAUUCAACAAUUUUCCUUCUGGUCCAGGAUCAAGUCUUAGUGUUGAGCGUAUUUCAUAACUCAUCAUCCCAGUUUCCACAACUAUAAGAAAAAAGAGCUAAUCAUCUUUGCUAAGUUUACUCCCGAAGGGUGUCUGUUGAGCAUGAUAAAGAUGCAAAAAAGAAAAAAGACAGAAUUUUAAAAAAAGUUCCUCUACCUCAGUCAAUAGUUAUGUAAUAUCAUAUAUACUAUAUAUCUUU